rnacentral:rRNA from 2 species
GGGAGCUUGCUCCCUGAUGUUAGCGGCGGACGGGUGAGUAACACGUGGGUAACCUGCCUGUAAGACUGGGAUAACUCCGGGAAACCGGGGCUAAUACCGGAUGCUUGUUUGAACCGCAUGGUUCAAACAUAAAAGGUGGCUUCGGCUACCACUUACAGAUGGACCCGCGGCGCAUUAGCUAGUUGGUGAGGUAAUGGCUCACCAAGGCGACGAUGCGUAGCCGACCUGAGAGGGUGAUCGGCCACACUGGGACUGAGACACGGCCCAGACUCUACGGGAGGCAGCAGUAGGGAAUCUUCCGCAAUGGACGAAAGUCUGACGGAGCAACGCCGCGUGAGUGAUGAAGGUUUCGGAUCGUAAAGCUCUGUUGUUAGGGAAGAACAAGUACCGUUCGAAUAGGGCGGUACCUUGACGGUACCUAACCAGAAAGCCACGGCUAACUACGUGCCAGCAGCCGCGGUAAUACGUAGGUGGCAAGCGUUGUCCGGAAUUAUUGGGCGUAAAGGGCUCGCAGGCGGUUUCUUAAGUCUGAUGUGAAAGCCCCCGGCUCAACCGGGGAGGGUCAUUGGAAACUGGGGAACUUGAGUGCAGAAGAGGAGAGUGGAAUUCCACGUGUAGCGGUGAAAUGCGUAGAGAUGUGGAGGAACACCAGUGGCGAAGGCGACUCUCUGGUCUGUAACUGACGCUGAGGAGCGAAAGCGUGGGGAGCGAACAGGAUUAGAUACCCUGGUAGUCCACGCCGUAAACGAUGAGUGCUAAGUGUUAGGGGGUUUCCGCCC